UACGUAGGGCGCAAGCGUUGUCCGGAAUUAUUGGGCGUAAAGGGCUCGUAGGCGGUUUGUUGCGUCGGCUGUGAAAUCCCGAGGCUCAACCUCGGGUCUGCAGUCGAUACGAGCAAACUAGAGUGUUGCAGGGGAGACUGGAAUUCCUGGUGUAGCGGUGAAAUGCGCAGAUAUCAGGAGGAACACCGGUGGCGAAGGCGGGUCUCUGGGCAACAACUGACGCUGAGGCGCGAAAGCGUGGGGAGCGAACAGG
rnacentral:rRNA from 1 species